rnacentral:rRNA from 1 species
UACGAAGGGGGCUAGCGUUGUUCGGAAUUACUGGGCGUAAAGCGCGCGUAGGCGGUCUGACAAGUCGGGGGUGAAAUCCCGAGGCUCAACCUCGGAACUGCCUUCGAUACUGUCAGUCUUGAGGUCGGGAGAGGUGAGUGGAACUCCGAGUGUAGAGGUGAAAUUCGUAGAUAUUCGGAAGAACACCAGUGGCGAAGGCGGGUCUCUGGGCCGAUAUUGACGCUGAGGAGCGAAAGCGUGGGGAGCGAACAGG